AUGCGGUUUCCGAGGCUCUUUACGAGUUGUGACGACCCGACUGUUCUUGCUUCUGCGGCUGCUUUGGAUGAGGGAUGGAACAUUGCGUUCUGCCGCUCAUUCGGACCAGCUGAGGUGCAGGAAUGGGCAGACUUGAGGGAAGUAGUCCCUCUUCCUCUGUCCCAGGAUCCUGACACUGUUUCUUGGAGUCUUUCUCCUUCGGGAGAAUUCUCUGUAAAUUCCGCUUAUCAGGCGCUAUGCCGGCUGCCGGUUCUCCAGUGGUUAUCCCCAUUGUGGAAGGCGCCGAUGCCCCUGAAGAUCAAGAUUUUCGUGUGGCAGCUUCUCAGAGAUCGUUUACCUUCGGGGACUGAGGUGCUGAAAUGCCAUGGUCCGGGCAAUGGCCUUUGCCCCCUUUGCCUCGUCCCAGAAACGGGAACGCACAUUUUGUUCUCGUGUGUAGCACCACAUGCACUUUGGUGCUUUGUUCGUGAGGCUCUGGGACCGGAUUGGGAGGCCCAUGACCUUGCAGAGUUUCUGCGUAAGGGCCACUCAGGUUGGCCAUAA
rnacentral:rRNA from 1 species